rnacentral:rRNA from 1 species
GGCUCGUCCGCUCUGGGUUAGUCGGGUCCUAAGCUGAGGCCGACAGGCGUAGGCGAUGGAUAACAGGUUGAUAUUCCUGUACCACCUAUAAUCGUUUUAAUCGAUGGGGGGACGCAGUAGGAUAGGCGAAGCGUGCGAUUGGAUUGCACGUCUAAGCAGUAAGGCUGAGUAUUAGGCAAAUCCGGUACUCAUUAAGGCUGAGCUGUGAUGGGGAGA